rnacentral:rRNA from 1 species
UACGUAGGCAGCGAGCGUUGUUCGGAGUUACUGGGCGUAAAGCGUGCGUAGGCGGUUUUGUAAGUUUGGUGUGAAAUCUCCCGGCUCAACUGGGAGGGUGCGCCGAAAACUGCAAGGCUGGAGCACUGUAGAGGCAGGCGGAAUUCCGGGUGUAGCGGUGGAAUGCGUAGAGAUCCGGAAGAACACCGGUGGCGAAGGCGGCCUGCUGGGCAGUGGCUGACACUGAGGCGCGACGAGCGUGGGGAGCAAACAGGG